GACGAACGCUGGCGGCGUGCUUAACACAUGCAAGUCGAACGGAAAGGCCCUGCUUUUGUGGGGUGCUCGAGUGGCGAACGGGUGAGUAACACGUGAGUAACCUGCCCUUGACUUUGGGAUAACUUCAGGAAACUGGGGCUAAUACCGGAUAGGAGCUCCUGCUGCAUGGUGGGGGUUGGAAAGUUUCGGCGGUUGGGGAUGGACUCGCGGCUUAUCAGCUUGUUGGUGGGGUAGUGGCUUACCAAGGCUUUGACGGGUAGCCGGCCUGAGAGGGUGACCGGCCACAUUGGGACUGAGAUACGGCCCAGACUCCUACGGGAGGCAGCGGUGGGGAAUAUUGCACAAUGGGCGGAAGCCUGAUGCAGCAACGCCGCGUGCGGGAUGACGGCCUUCGGGUUGUAAACCGCUUUCGCCUGUGGCGAAGCGUGAGUGACGGUAAUGGGUAAAGAAGCACCGGCUAACUACGUG
rnacentral:rRNA from 1 species